UCAUGGUAUCCAUUAAAUAUUGUAAUAUCUUGUUCUUAUAUCAAGUUUAAUUGUGCAACAGGUCUUUGCCACUGCUCAAAAGGAGUGCGUGGAUUCUUUCUUUUCACAGAAUUCUUUUAUAAGCUAUGACACUCUGAACAAACUUGGAAUUUCCCAGCCUGUCCAGUUCUUGCAGUCCAGGUAUCCUAAAGGUAUACCUUUAGUUACUGCAUUUGCUCACCCUUCCUUGACUGAGAUGUUAGAUGCUGCUGUUGAGGAUGCUAUUGAGCGUGGUAGCUGAUAAGAGAAAUAAUGAAAUGAUCAAUUUUUUAUUCUUUUGUUUGUGUUUUUUGUUAUCUUGCAAAAUAACAUCAUAAUUGCUUGUAUGCCUUAUUUUUAAUUUGAUAGAUUUUAUUCAAUGUUGAUAAAA